rnacentral:rRNA from 1 species
UAAUGUAUGGGGAUCUGCCCGAUAGAGGGGGAUAACUACUGGAAACGGUGGCUAAUACCGCAUAAUGUCUACGGACCAAAGCAGGGGCUCUUCGGAACCUUGCACUAUCGGAUGAACCCAUAUGGGAUUAGCUAGUAGGUGGGGUAAAGGCUCACCUAGGCGACGAUCUCUAGCUGGUCUGAGAGGAUGAUCAGCCACACUGGGACUGAGACACGGCCCAG